AGUGAACGCUGGCGGUAGGCCUAACACAUGCAAGUCGAACGGCAGCACAGUAAGAGCUUGCUCUUACGGGUGGCGAGUGGCGGACGGGUGAGGAAUACAUCGGAAUCUACUUUUUCGUGGGGGAUAACGUAGGGAAACUUACGCUAAUACCGCAUACGACCUACGGGUGAAAGCAGGGGAUCUUCGGACCUUGCGCGAUUGAAUGAGCCGAUGUCGGAUUAGCUAGUUGGCGGGGUAAAGGCCCACCAAGGCGACGAUCCGUAGCUGGUCUGAGAGGAUGAUCGGCACAACUGAACCUAGAACACGGUCAGACCUCCAAGGGAGGGCAGAGGUGGGAAUUUUUGGCAAUUGGCGGAAGCCUGAAUCAGGCAAACCGGGUUGGUGAAGGAGGGCCUUGGGGUGGAAAACCCCUUUUUUUGGAAAGAAAAGCAGCAGGUUAAUACCCCGCUGUUCUGACGGUACCCAAAGAAUAAGCACCGGCUAACUUCGUG
rnacentral:rRNA from 1 species